UCAGUGAGACACAGAUGGGGGUGUGCAUAGUCUGGUGUGUAGCCAUGUGUCUCUUGGGAGCAAGCCAAGCAGAUGCUGAAAUAACUCAAACACCAAGUCUGGUGCUGGAGAGAGGACACACUGCCUAUCUGAGAUGUCAACAGUCCUAUGGGCACAACAACAUGUUCUGGUACCGACAGGAUCCAGGUCAGGGAAUGCAGUUCCUCAUUAAUUUCUACAACAAAAUGGAAACUGAAAAAGGAAAGAUUACUGAUCGCUUCCAGGCUGACCAGCCGCAGAAUGAUCUCUUUCGGUUGAACAUCUCGUCUGUGCAGCCAGAGGACUCAGCUGUGUAUUUCUGCGCCAGCAGCUUAGACACACUGCUUCAGAGUCCCCUCCUCCCUCUACAAAAACCUCAUCUCUCCCUUGUCUCUCUGUAG